rnacentral:rRNA from 1 species
GUGGUUAAUACCCACAGCGAUUGACGUUACUCGCAGAAGAAGCACCGGAUAACUCCGUGCCAGCAGCCGCGGUAAUACGGAGGGUGCAAGCGUUAAUCGGAAUUACUGGGCGUAAAGCGCACGCAGGCGGUCUGUCAAGUCGGAUGUGAAAUCCCCGGGCUCAACGUGGGAACUGCAUUCGAAACUGGCAGGCUAGAGUCUUGUAGAGGGGGGUAGAAUU